rnacentral:piRNA from 1 species
UAGUGUGAAUUCAUUACAUUUACCCGAAGA